GCCGGGGUCCCCUAACCUGGUAUGGGGCAGGCCUGCUAAGUCUGUGCGCGAAAGCGCGUGCGGGUUCAAAUCCCGCCCCCGGCG
rnacentral:tRNA from 1 species